CUGAAAUGCAAAGUGGAGCCUGAACUUUUCUUCAUCCUUUACUUUACACAGCCGGUUGAAUAGGACAUUAAGCAUCCAACAGGAAGGUGUGAUUACUUCCUGGAAACAUUGACAGUGGAGCAUGUACUGAUAGUGUGUGCAGUAUGAGAGGGAAAGAGACAGAUUGAGUAUGAGGGAGAAGGUGAUACAGGAAUUGACUUUAAAGAGAAUACUGAGUAGAAUAACAUAAUUUGAUGGAGGCAAAUGUUUUAUCUUUUAAGAGAAACUGGGCUGGCAGGUUGGAUUUACAAUUUCUCCCUGUCUACCUGAUUUAUUGUUUCUACCUAUCCCACAGAUUAUACAUUAUAUUGACCAGAUACUCAAUUGGCCGCUCUAACAAUGAAAAUAAAUGUCUUCAAAAAUGGAAGGCAGUCAGGAGGAGGCAAGAUCAUGUGGGACCAUUCAAGCCAAUGAGAGGGCAGAUAGGAGUGUGAUAACAGGCACAACUCCAAUAUAGUGUUUUUUCUCAGAGUUGCAUGGAUGUCACGUGUCCUACUUAUCAGUAGCUACAUUCAUAACAACCUAAGAAUUACGAAACUUCUGUUCGAUCAAAUAAGCCACACGUACCAAAUAAGUCAUAUUUUUGCUUAACCAAAUUCAACACGCAUUGACCUCUAUACAAAAACUUCUGGCUUGGUGAGUAAAACAUUUUUUUUUUUAACACCACCUGCUGGAGAACACAGAUUUUGGUCCCUGUUAUCCCUCUCAUUUUGCCUCUUCCUCUUUGGAGAUACUUUAGAGGAGAUAGUCCCAGUCGGUAGCGGCCAGCCUUGUACAGCCGUAACGGAAGUUAUGGUGACCUUAUUUGACCUAUUCUACUGCUUUUGAGAUACGGUUCGAUCCCACCUUGGGGCACUACUUGUUGAGUAAUUAAAACACUAAACAAUCACAAUACAGUAACUAUUGGUCACUAUUAUGUAUUAUUAUUCUAAUAUGUAUUAAUUAUAGAAUUGUGUCAGUUAUUAAUAAUAAACCUUAAAACUGCAUUCUUCCUUCCCUCUCUCCCCAUCUCUCCAUGUUUCAGCUCCAGAUGACAAAACCUGCUCACACUCCCAGAGGGUUGCAGGUCUGCCGACUUCCUUUUGGUCACACAUUUUAUUUGGAGAAAUAUCCAAUAAACCAAAGA
rnacentral:lncRNA from 1 species